rnacentral:piRNA from 1 species
UUAGAUGCUGUCAAACUUUUUAAAU